rfam:Sorghum bicolor cultivar BTx623 chromosome 2, whole genome shotgun sequence.
GUUGUCGGAUUUUCUUUAAUCCAUGUGUGUUGGUGUGGAUUGGGGUGGAAUUUAGUUCAAGUUCCACUCCAAUCCACCUCAAUACAUGUGGAUUGAUGUGAAUCCGACU